GGACGAACGCUGGCGGCGUGCCUAACACAUAGCAAGUCGAGCGAGGAGAUUCCUUCGGGAUGAUCCUAGCGGCGGACGGGUGAGUAACACGUGGGCAACCUGCCUCAUAGAGAGGAAUAGCCUUCCGAAAGGGAGAUUAAUACCUCAUAACAUUGCAGUUUCGCAUGGAACAGCAAUUAAAGGAGCAAUCCACUAUGAGAUGGGCCCGCGGCGCAUUAGCUAGUUGGUGAGGUAACGGCUCACCAAGGCGACGAUGCGUAGCCGACCUGAGAGGGUGAUCGGCCACAUUGGGACUGAGACACGGCCCAGACUCCUACGGGAGGCAGCAGUGGGGAAUAUUGCACAAUGGGGGAAACCCUGAUGCAGCCAACGCCGCGUGAGUGAUGACGGCCUUCGGGUUGUAAAGCUCUGUCUUCAGGGACGAUAAUGACGGUACCUGAGGAGGAAGCCACGGCUAACUACGUGCCAGCAGCAGC
rnacentral:rRNA from 1 species